rnacentral:rRNA from 1 species
GACGAACGCUGGCGGCGUGCUUAACACAUGCAAGUGGAGCGACGAACCAGGCUUCGGCCUGGGGCAGAGCCGCGAACGGGUGAGUAACACGUGGGUAACCUGCCUCGAUGACCGGGACAACCCGGGGAAACCCGGGCUAAUACCGGAUGUGCUGCUCGCACAUCAGUGAGAGCUGGAAAGGAAGCUUCGGCCUCCGCAUCGAGAUGGGCCCGCGGCCCAUUAGCUUGUUGGUGAGGUAACGGCUCACCAAGGCUGCGAUGGGUAGCUGGUCUGAGAGGACGAUCAGCCACACUGGGACUGAGACACGGCCCAGACUCCUACGGGAGGCAGCAGUGGGGAAUCUUGCGCAAUGCGCGAAAGCGUGACGCAGCAACGCCGCGUGGGGGAAGAAGGCCUUCGGGUUGUAAACCCCUUUCAGGAGGGACGAAGGUCGGGCGGUGAAUAGCCGACCCGACUGACGGUACCUCCAGAAGAAGCCCCGGCUAACUACGUGCCAGCAGCCGCCGUAAUAC